CCUACGGGAGGCAGCAGUGGGGAAUCUUGGACAAUGGGCGCAAGCCUGAUCCAGCCAUGCCGCGUGAGUGAAGAAGGCCUUAGGGUUGUAAAGCUCUUUUGGCAGGGACGAUAAUGACGGUACCUGCAGAAUAAGCCCCGGCAAACUUCGUGCCAGCAGCCGCGGUAAU
rnacentral:rRNA from 1 species